GGAAAGGUGACCGAGUGGCCGAUGGUAUCGCAUUGCUAAUGCGACGUACAAUCUUUGUACCAGGGGUUCAAAUCCCCUCCUUUCCG
rnacentral:tRNA from 1 species